rnacentral:rRNA from 1 species
UACCAGCACCCCGAGUGGUCGGGACGUUUAUUGGGCCUAAAGCAUCCGUAGCCGGUUCUACAAGUCUUCCGUUAAAUCCAUCCGCUUAACAGAUGGGCUGCGGAAGAUACUAUAGAGCUAGGAGGCGGGAGAGGCAAGCGGUACUCGAUGGGUAGGGGUAAAAUCCGUUGAUCCAUUGAAGACCACCAGUGGCGAAGGCGGCUUGCCAGAACGCGCUCGACGGUGAGGGAUGAAAGCUGGGGGAGCAAACCGG